rnacentral:tRNA from 1 species
ACCGGGGUAGCUCAGCCAGGUAGAGCGUAGGGCUCAUAUCCCUCUUGCCGCAGGUUCAAAUCCUGCCCCCGGUACCA